rnacentral:rRNA from 1 species
CGGAAGGGGCAAGCGUUGUUCGGAAUCAUUGGGCGUAAAGGGCGCGUAGGUGGUUCUGUAUGUCUACCGUGAAAGCAUACAGCUCAACUGUAUUUUGUCGGUAGAAACUGCAGGACUUGAGGCUGGGAGGGGCUGGUGGAAUUCCCUGUGUAGCGGUGAAAUGCGUAGAGAUGGGGGAGAACACUCGUGGCGAAGGCGGCCAGCUAGACCAGUUCUGACACUGAGGCGCGACAGCGUGGGGAGCAAACAGGAUUAGAUACCCUGGUAGUCCACGCUGUAAACGAUGGGCACUAGGUGCCGGCGGUCUUGAUCCCGUCGGUGCCGGCGCUAACGCAGUAAGUGUCCCGCCUGGGGAGUACGGCCGCAAGGCUG